UAUCACUACAUGCCAAAAAUGUGUCAUCAGCAAAAAGGUUUAUAAAUUCACAAUUUACAAAAAGCCCAAUAUCAUUCAUAUACAAUAUAAAUAGAAGAGGUCUUAAAACACUUCCUUGAGAAAGUACAGAAUCACAUAUAUCUUCAAAUCCCUCAAUGAACUGUGAAUCUGAGCUUGAUGGAGAAUGAUAUAUGCAGCCAAUAAUCCAGACAAGAGAUCCUAAAUUCACCUUAAUAAAUUUACACCAAAAGUUAUCCUUUAGCUCAAUUUUUUUAAUGUUUGAAAAUGUAUAGUUAUCAUUAAUGUAAAUCAAAACACCACCUGUAUGUCUGCUGUUUGAGUCACACCUAACACAUGUAUACUUUUCAAUAUACAAUUCGCUAUCGUCAAUGUGUGUUGUUGUCCGCGUUUCACUUAGCAAGAUAACUUUUGGAUUAAAAGACGCAAUGCUCUGUCGUAUUUGAUCUAUAGUUUUUAAAAUACUCUGUGCAUUAAGGUAAAUUAUGUCUGAGGAAAAAAGUAUAUUAGAUGUUACUGCGA